rnacentral:lncRNA from 1 species
CUUAUAAUGUGCAUGUAACCAGAAUAUAUAAUUGACAAUGAUAAUCAUUAACAGGUACUGAUGUUAUUUCAGAACAGAGGAUGGAACGAGACAGACUAAACCUCCAUGCAUGCAGUAGAGGAAAUCCAAACUGUGAUAAUUAAAUGCAAAUAAAGCCUGGGGGCAAAAAUUCCUGGUCUCUCUAAGAUAAGAGAAAUGUAUUUCUACCAUCUAUAGUUCAUUUAUUUCUCUUGAAGACUCUAAUUUGUUUUUAAGCUAAUAGAUCAAACAUUCUUGUCACAGUUCGUACAACUGUCUCAAAUAUGUGAGAAGUACCCGCCAGGCGAGGACCACCAGCAAUUUUUAUGAUUUCUUUACACUACAAAUAUUUGGCAGAACUGAAAUCACCCAAUAAAAUAAACCUGCGGAUUCAUCUGCAGUUUUAGACUCUCUCCAAGUAUUUUUUGGACUCCUUCCCAAAAUAACUGAUGCUCAUGAUAUUCCAAUAUCAAAUGAAAAUAUGUCCUAAUUUUCAUGUCUCACUACCACCAUCUGUUAUUAAAGAGAAAGUUGUCUUUUUCCUAGUGGGCCAGGUGGUUUGGAAACACCCAUGCAGAGAUGAGGAGAGCUCUCAUCCAGCAGCUCUUCUGGCCCCGCACAUUGCUGGGUUGGUGGGACUUGGACAUAACAAAGGGCAGAAGGAAAAGGUUCGGGAUCCUCUUUGGGAAAACCUUUAGCAAAAAGGAAUAGAUUAAAAACACCAGGUUUGAAAAUUCAGCUCAGCUGUACUGACAUGGCAGACAUCUUCAGUGAAAGCCACUCAGCAGUACACAAAUUUUGAAGUCACUUCUGUGAGGCUGAGAUCAGCUGAUACUUCAGAAAAUCACUGAGCUUUGUAGACAUUCAGCCCUUCUUAACAUUACAUUCAUGCUUCAAGUAUAAAAGAGAAGUCUUUCUCCUCCAAAGAUGAAUCAAGUUAUAAACCACCCGAACCUCCUGCCUCUACUACUGCAUUUGACAACCAAACCACAUCACCGCUUAUUCACCCCACCAAGGCAUCCCAGAGAGAUGUUCCAAAACAGCUGACACUGCUCUUCCCCAUUCCUGCAGAUAUUUUUCUUUCCAGACAUCUUGAGCCGUAGUUUUAGCAAGUGCUACUUGCAGUAUGUCUUGUAAAUCCUACAAACCACUAUAAAAUCACACAGUGUCAAUUUCAUGUGUCUUCCAACAGAAAGAUCCGUGGAUUUUGUUUCUACCAGUCUCUCAGCUGUACAGUGCCUGGUAAGUAUUAAUUUUUAGGGUCAUCACUCACUCUGAUUUUUGUAAAGCUCUCCAGUUUUACGAGGUUUGUCUCACACCACACUAGACUAGCUGUCAGCUGGCUAAUAUUGACUAGGUGGUGGAAGACAAACCUCUUUAUUAUUAUAAUGCUGAAUUCAAAAACUGUUGUUUCUGUAGAUUGAAAUCAUAUUCUUUUAGAUAUAGUAGUGUAGCAAGUAGAG